CAGGACUUGACAUCCCUCUGACCGGCGUGUAACGGCGCCCUCCCUUCGGGGCAGAGGAGACAGGUGGUGCAUGGUUGUCGUCAGCUCGUGUCGUGAGAUGUUGGGUUAAGUCCCGCAACGAGCGCAACCCUUGUCAUUAGUUGCCAGCAGGUUAAGCUGGGCACUCUAGUGAGACUGCCGGGGACAACUCGGAGGAAGGUGGGGAUGACGUCAAAUCAUCAUGCCCCUUAUGUUCUGGGCUACACACGUGCUACAAUGGCCGGUACAGAGAGACGCAAUGUCGUGAGGCGGAGCAAAACUCUAAAACCGGUCCCAGUUCGGAUUGCAGGCUGAAACUCGCCCACAUGAAGUUGGAGUUGCUAGUAAUCGCGAAUCAGAAUGUCGCGGUGAAUGCGUUCCC
rnacentral:rRNA from 1 species